rnacentral:rRNA from 1 species
GACGAACGCUGGCGGCGUGCUUAACACAUGCAAGUCGAACGGAAAGGCCCUGCUUUUGUGGUGUGCUCGAGUGGCGAACGGGUGAGUAACACGUGAGUAACCUGCUCUUGACUUUGGGAUAACUUCAGGAAACUGGGGCUAAUACCGGAUAGGAGCUCCUGCUGCAUGGUGGGGGUUGGAAAGUUUCGGCGGUUGGGGAUGGACUCGCGGCUUAUCAGCUUGUUGGUGGGGUAGUGGCUUACCAAGGCUUUGACGGGUAGCCGGCCUGAGAGGGUGACCGGCCACAUUGGGACUAAGAUACGGACCAGACGCCUACGGGGGACAGCAGUGGGGAAUAUUGCACAAUGAGCGGGAGCCUGAUGAAGCAACGCCGCGUGCGGGAUGACGGCCUUCGGGGUGUAAACCGCUUUAGCCUGUGACGAAGCGUGAGUGACGGUAAUGGAUAAAGAAGCACCGGCUAACUACGUG